rnacentral:rRNA from 1 species
AACGAACGCUGGCGGCAGGCCUAACACAUGCAAGUCGAGCGAGAUCUUCGGGUCUAGCGGCGGACGGGUGAGUAACGCGUGGGAAUAUGCCCUUCUCUGCGGAAUAGCCUCGGGAAACUGAGCGUAAUACCGCAUACGCCCUUUGGGGGAAAGAUUUAUCGGAGAAGGAUUAGCCCGCGUUGGAUUAGGUAGUUGGUGGGGUAACGGCCUACCAAGCCGACGAUCCAUAGCUGGUUUGAGAGGAUGAUCAGCCACACUGGGACUGAGACACGGCCCAGACUCCUACGGGAGGCAGCAGUGGGGAAUCUUAGACAAUGGGGGCAAACCUGAUCUAGCCAUGCCGCGUGAGUGAUGAAGGCCUUAGGGUUGUAAAGCUCUUUCAGCUGGGAAGAUAAUGACGGUACCAGCAGAAGAAGCCCCGGCUAACUCCGUG